AGUUUAUACAGAAGAGGCGAGAGACGGACUUUUUGACCCUCUGGCAACCAACUUUAAGUUCUUCCGAAUAGUUCGGGUGGAUUGGAAAACCGGUGCCAACUUCCGAGUUUGAUGCAUGUUGCAGUCAGACGAAUAUAAAAA
rnacentral:ncRNA from 2 species